rnacentral:rRNA from 1 species
GAGCGUAGGCGGACUUUUAAGUGAGAUGUGAAAUACCCGGGCUCAACUUGGGUGCUGCAUUUCAAACUGGAAGUCUAGAGUGCAGGAGAGGAGAAUGGAAUUCCUAGUGUAGCGGUGAAAUGCGUAGAGAUUAGGAAGAACACCAGUGGCGAAGGCGAUUCUCUGGACUGUAACUGACGCUGAGGCUCGAAAGCAUGGGUAGCAAACA